rnacentral:rRNA from 1 species
UAUUACUAAGCGGAGGAAAAGAAACUAACCAAGAUUGACAUAGUAAGGGCGACUGAAAUGUCACGAGCUCAGCAUGUGAAUCAGCGUUGGCACUUUUGUCAACGCUGAAUUGUGGUCUUACGGUUCUUGCACUACUUUUGGCCAGACCAUGUUUUUUGGAAUAAAACAGCAUAGAGGGUGAAACUCCUGUAUGUUUGGCCAACGGAUUAGCAAGCACUACUGAGUCGAGUUGUUUGGGAUUGCAGCUCAAAUACGGUGGUAAAUUCCAUCUUUAGCUAAAUAUUGGUAGGAGACCGAUAGCGUACAAGUACCGUGAGGGAAAGAUGCAAAGAACUUUGAAAAGAGAGUGAAAGAGUACCUGAAAUUGCUGAAAAGGAAGCGAACGAAGGUAGUGAAAGCCACGGCAUACUUUCCAACUUGCUUGCAACUUGGACGCUGUGCCGAGCUCAGUUCCGCUCGAUUGUCGASUACUCAAUACUACGUGUAAGCACGCAACAAAAAGUUGUUACCUAUUUUUGUUUGCCAGUCGCACGUACUGCAAUUGAGAUGAACAAAAUACCUUUGUUUGCCCCGUCUAGAAACACGGACCAAGGAGUCUAACAUAUGUGCGAGUACUGCGGUUUUUACAAACCGACUCGAAACAAACAAACGUGCGCAAUGAAAGUGUCAGAGGCUGGAAUGCAUUUGAUGCAUUGCACAGUCCGCCGGCCUCAAUCCCUCGGGAGAAUGGUCUGAGUGUGAGCAUACAUGUUGGGACCCGAAAGAUGGUGAACUAUGCUUGAGUAGGGUGAAGCCAGGGGAAACUUUGGUGAAGGCUCGCAGCGAUUCUGACGUGCAAAUCGAUCGUCAAACUUGAGUAUAGGGGCGAAAGACUAAUCGAACUAUCUAGUAGCUGGUUCCCUCCGAAAUUUCCCUUAGGAUAGCUGCAAUCUUGUUACAAAAGCCAGUUUUGUCA